rnacentral:rRNA from 1 species
CCCUUAGAUGUUCGGGGCCGCACGCGCGCUACACUGACGAAGUCAGCGAGCAUGUCCUACGCCGACAGGUGCGGGGAAUCUUGUCAAACUUCGUCGUGAUGGGGAUUGAUUAUUGAAAUUCUUGAUCAUCAACGAGGAAUUCCUAGUAAGCGCAAGUCAGCAGCUUGCGUUGAUUACGUCCCUGCCCUUUGUACACACCGCCCGUCGCUACUACCGAUUGAAUGGUUUAGUGAGAUCUUCGGAUUGGCGCCACUGCGGCUCAGCAAUGGGCUCGGUGGAUGCCGAAAAGUUGAUCAAACUUGAUCAUUUAGAGGAAGUAAAAGUCGUAACA